GGUUGGUUAGCUCAGUUGGUUAGAGCGCCGAGCUAAUAACUCGGAGGUCAUGGGUUCGACCCCCCUACUGACCA